UUUAAGUGCAGUUGUGGGUUUCGGUACACAAUAGUUAACUGUCUGUCUUAUUUAAAAAAAAUUUUAUGAUUAGUAUUUUUAUUGUUACCUUAUGUCGGACUUUUUUAUUAACAUUUUUUAUAAAAUUUUUCAAAUAAAACGGACUGUCAAAAAUUGAAUAUAGAAACCGAGAACUGCACUUAAA
rfam:Oryza sativa (indica cultivar-group) chromosome 10, whole genome shotgun sequence.